rnacentral:rRNA from 1 species
CCUACGGGUGGCAGCAGUGGGGAAUAUUGGACAAUGGGCGAAAGCCUGAUCCAGCCAUGCCGCGUGUGUGAAGAAGGCCUUCGGGUUGUAAAGCACUUUCAGUGGGGAAGAAAGCCUUGGGGCUAAUACCCUCGAGGAAGGACAUCACCCACAGAAGAAGCACCGGCUAACUCCGUGCCAGCAGCCGCGGUAAUACGGAGGGUGCGAGCGUUAAUCGGAAUUACUGGGCGUAAAGCGCGCGUAGGCGGUCUGAUAAGCCGGUUGUGAAAGCCCCGGGCUCAACCUGGGAACGGCAUCCGGAACUGUCAGGCUAGAGUGCAGGAGAGGAAGGUAGAAUUCCCGGUGUAGCGGUGAAAUGCGUAGAGAUCGGGAGGAAUACCAGUGGCGAAGGCGGCCUUCUGGACUGACACUGACGCUGAGGUGCGAAAGCGUGGGUAGCAAAUAGGAUUAGAUACCCUGGUAGUC